rnacentral:rRNA from 1 species
GACGAACGCUGGCGGCGUGCUUAACACAUGCAAGUCGAACGGAAAGGCCCUGCUUUCGUGGGGUGCUCGAGUGGCGCACGGGUGAGUAACCCGUGAGUCACCUGCCCUUGACUUUGGGACAACUUCAGGAAACCGGUGCUAAUACCGGCUACGAGCUCCUGCAGCAUGGUGGGGUUUGGAAAGUUUCGGCGCAUGGGGAUGGACUGCCGGCUAACCAGCUUGUUGGUGGGGUACCGGCCGAACGAGGCAUUGAUGGGUAACCGACCUGGGAGGGUGACCAGCCACAUUAGGACUGAGGUACGGCCCAGACUCCAACGGGGGGCAGCAGGGGGGAAUAUUGUACAAUGGGCGGAAGCCUGAUGCAGCAACGCCGCGUGUGGGAAGACGGCCUUCGGGUGGGAAACCGCAUUCGGUUGUGACGAAGCGGGAUUGACGGUAAUAGGUAAAGAAGCACCGGCUAACUACGUG